GAUGAACGCUGGCGGCGUGCCUAAUACAUGCAAGUCGAGCGAACAGACGAGGAGCUUGCUCCUCUGACGUUAGCGGCGGACGGGUGAGUAACACGUGGAUAACCUACCUAUAAGACUGGGAUAACUUCGGGAAACCGGAGCUAAUACCGGAUAAUAUCUUGAACCGCAUGGUUCAAUAGUGAGAGACGGUUUUGCUGUCACUUAUAGAUGGAUCCGGUCCGCAUUAGCUAGUUGGUAAGGUAACGGCUUACCAAGGCAACGAUGCGUAGCCGACCUGAGAGGGUGAUCGGCCACACUGGAACUGGGAAACGGUCCAGACUCCUACGGGAGGCAGCAGUAGGGAUUCUUCGGCAAAGGGCGAAGGCCGGACGGAGAAACGCCGCGUGGGGGAGGAAGGUCUUCGGAUCGUAAAACUCUGUUAUUGGGGAGGAACAAAUGUGUAAGUAACUAUGCACGUCUUGACGGUACCUAAUCAGAAAGCCACGGCUAACUACGUG
rnacentral:rRNA from 1 species